AAUAUUGGACAAUGGGGGCAACCCUGAUCCAGCGAUGCCGCGUGUGUGAAGAAGGUCUUAGGAUAGUAAAGCACUUUAAGUUGGGAGGAAGGGGCUUAGGUUAAUACCCUGAAGUAUUGACGUUACCAACAGAAUAAGCAACGGCUAACUCUGUGACAGCAGCCGCGGUAAUACAGAGGGUGCAAGCGUUAGUCGGAAUUACUGGGAGUAAAGCGCGCGUAGGUGAUUCAGUAAGAUGGGUGUGAAAUCCCCGGGCUUAACCUGGGAACUGCUUUCAUAACUGCUGAGCUAGAGUAUGGUAGAGGGUAGUGGAAUUUCCUGUGUAGCGGUGAAAUGCGUAGAUAUAGGAAGGAACACCAGUGGCGAAGGCGACUACCUGGACUGAUACUGACACUGAGGUGCGAAAGCGUGGGGAGCAAAC
rnacentral:rRNA from 1 species